GGCGUAUUGAGCUGGCCCAUGUCACGUGACAGGAGACAGCAAAUGAGCAUCAACGUGCAACACAGCCCGCCGAGCCGACACAGUCAGCAAAAGGCAGAGCCGGAGGAAAAUCUGAGAUGGCAGUCAAAAAAACUAAGCGUGGUGUGGUGUUAUUAUUCACCAGUCGAUAAAACCACUGCGAGGUGCCAGGUGUGUGAUAAACAUGUUUUGCACAGUAGCAACACAAUUAAUUUAUUCAAACAUUUGAAGACGACGCAUCCCGAGAGCCACAGUGAGCUUGAAAAAAGACAGGCUGCUGCGAAAGCCCAGUCUCCUGCGCCACCCGCAGUCCGGCAGAAGACCCUGCACGAGAGUCUGCAAAAAAGCAAAUCCAGCUGUGAUAACCUGCAGGAGUGCAGGUUGCCCAAAGUAAAGAAAAUGGCUUUGACGUGCGACGUCGACUCCUCCACCGCCGUCAAUUCAGCUUUCUACAUUUGUGAGAACAAGUUUCCAGAUAAACGUACUGUCAUUGCCUGCAAGGAUCAGACUGCCGACUUAAAGUGUGAAAAGGGUGUUAUUCGCAUCAUCAAGUCCAAUUACGGACAUCUCGACCAGAACACCUGCACAGACACGCCUUCUGAAAACAGCUUCUGUGGAACGAAAGACUUUGAAGAAGAUGUGAAACGCAUGUGCAACGGUAGAAAAGAGUGUUCAAUUCCAGGCACUGCCGAAGACCAGAUAUUUUAUAGAUUCUGUGAUGAAUCCCCCAAGUAUGUGUACGUGUCCUACGUCUGUGAAGCAUAGGAUAAGUACACAAUGAACACCAACAGUUGGUGUACAGGUGACCUGAAGAUGGAGGAUUUCUCCUGCAUCUGAGGAACCUUGUUCCAAAUCUAAAAAGUAAAUGACCCAAUUAAUAAAAGAG
rnacentral:lncRNA from 1 species